rnacentral:rRNA from 1 species
UGGCUCAGAACGAACGCUGGCGGCGCGCUUAACACAUGCAAGUCGAACGUGAAGCCCGGGCUUGCCCGGGUGGAAAGUGGCGAACGGGUGCGUAACACGUGAGCAACCUGCCCCGAAGACCGGGAUAACACCGGGAAACCGGUGCUAAUACCGGAUGCCCUCAUCAUGUCGCAUGGCGAGAUGAGGAAAUGGAUUCCGCUUCGGGAUGGGCUCGCGGCCUAUCAGCUUGUUGGUGGGGUAACGGCCUACCAAGGCGACGAGGGGAAGCUGGUCUGAGAGGACGAUCAGCCACACUGGGACUGAUAUUCUCGGCCCAGACGGAAACGGGAGGCAGCA